CAGCAGCCGCGGUAAUACGUAGGUCCCGAGCGUUGUCCGGAUUUAUUGGGCGUAAAGCGAGCGCAGGCGGUUAGAUAAGUCUGAAGUUAAAGGCUGUGGCUUAACCAUAGUACGCUUUGGAAACUGUUUAACUUGAGUGCAAGAGGGGAGAGUGGAAUUCCAUGUGUAGCGGUGAAAUGCGUAGAUAUAUGGAGGAACACCGGUGGCGAGAGCGGCUCUCUGGCUUGUAACUGACGCUGAGGCUCGAAAGCGUGGGGAGCAAACAGGAUUAGAUACCCCGGUAGUCCCUGUCUCUUAUACA
rnacentral:rRNA from 1 species